CGAGAAAGCCCGCAAGGGUGAGUAAAGCGGCGCACGGGUGCGUAACACGUGGGUAAUCUGCCCUGGAGUCCGGAAUAACUCGCCGAAAGGCGUGCUAAUGCCGGAUGAGACCACGGGAGCUCCGGCUCCUGCGGGAAAAGGUGGCCUCUGUACACAAGCUACCGCUCCUGGAUGAGCCCGCGGCCCAUCAGCUAGUUGGCGGGGUAACGGCCCACCAAGGCAACGACGGGUAGCUGGUCUGAGAGGACGAUCAGCCACACUGGAACUGAGACACGGUCCAGACUCCUACGGGAGGCAGCAGUGGGGAAUCUUGCGCAAUGGGCGAAAGCCUGACGCAGCAACGCCGCGUGUGUGAUGAAGGUCUUCGGAUCGUAAAGCACUGUCGCGAGGGACG
rnacentral:rRNA from 1 species